GCAACUAUACUUGCUUGACCAAAGCACCUAUCUCUGUUCAAGUAAGGUCGUACCACCUUAUCCUUGAGUUCUAAGGAAACAGAAAACCAAGUCUAGUUGAUGAGGCGUGGCUAUGUGACCAGAGCGUGAUUAACAGCCUUUCAUGGCCACUUAUGGCCUUGUAGCAGUAGAGGAUCGUUCUCAGUCCAAAACGUUUUGGCAAGAGUAGGGAUGCGAUCAUAGCAGCAACUAUACU
rnacentral:snoRNA from 1 species